GACGAACCGUGCGAACGUUGUUCGGAUUCACUGGGCUUAAAGGGCGCGUAGGCGGGCGGUCAAGUCAGGGGUGAAAUCUUUCGGCUCAACCGGAAAAGUGCCUUUGAUACUGGCCGUCUCGAGGGAGGUAGGGGCAUGCGGAACUUCCGGUGGAGCGGUGAAAUGCGUAGAUAUCGGAAGGAACGCCGGUGGCGAAAGCGGCGUGCUGGACCUCUUCUGACGCUGAGGCGCGAAAGCCAGGGGAGCAAAC
rnacentral:rRNA from 1 species